rnacentral:rRNA from 1 species
AUGAACGCUGGCGGCGUGCCUAAUACAUGCAAGUCGAGCGAACAGAUAAGGAGCUUGCUCCUUUGACGUUAGCGGCGGACGGGUGAGUAACACGUGGGUAACCUACCUAUAAGACUGGGAUAACUUCGGGAAACCGGAGCUAAUACCGGAUAACAUUUGGAACCGCAUGGUUCUAAAGUGAAAGAUGGUUUUGCUAUCACUUAUAGAUGGACCCGCGCCGUAUUAGCUAGUUGGUAAGGUAACGGCUUACCAAGGCGACGAUACGUAGCCGACCUGAGAGGGUGAUCGGCCACACUGGAACUGAGACACGGUCCAGACUCCUACGGGAGGCAGCAGUAGGGAAUCUUCCGCAAUGGGCGAAAGCCUGACGGAGCAACGCCGCGUGAGUGGUGAAGGGUUUCGGCUCGUAAAACUCUGUUAUUAGGGAAGAACAAAUGUGUAAGUAACUGUGCACGUCCUGACGGUACCUAAUCAGAAAGCCACGGCUAACUACGUG